UCCUACAAGACUCUUAUGUUCUCACCGGAGGGACACCAUAACGACAACAACAACAUAGCAACUCCUCCCUGUUCUGUGUAGAGACACCUCUGGAGCUGGAGGACUAUAUUUCCUGUAACCUCUAUUAAGGAAUGUUUGUCUCUGUGCAAAGCCUUGUUUGGAAAAAGGGUGGAUGCUGACCAUGGAAGACUUGGUGGACUUUGGAGUUUCAAAAUAAACCUUUUUGCAAUAAUUCACAAGGACAACACAAUCUUGAGUAUCCAUGUAAACGUUUAUUUCAACAUUGUAAAAUAUUCAAAUCAAUUGAUACUGCAUGCAAGUUCCUCACUGUAUGUGUGUCAGUAUCUUCACAGACAGAUGCAUCCCAGACAAAGUACACAUGACAGAGGGGCUCAGUGAACGGGGUCUGGACUCUGUGGAGGAAGAUCAUUCUGUCAGAUGUUGAAGAAGGACAGAGUUCUUGCACUGUGGUCCAGAUCCAUUUCUAUGAGACAGCUAGAGAAACACGGUCCCCGCUGUUUUCUAUCUCCCAGUAGCAGGUUCCAGACAGACCUUCUCUACACAGCACCUGGGGUGAGUGGUAAAUCUGUAUAAGUGACAAUGAACAGA